rnacentral:rRNA from 1 species
GACGAACGCUGGCGGCGUGCUUAACACAUGCAAGUCGAGCGGAAAGGCCCUUUCGGGGGUACUCGAGCGGCGAACGGGUGAGUAACACGUGAGUAAUCUGCCCUUCACUUGGGGAUAACCUCCGGAAACGGUGGCUAAUACCCGAUACGACCAUUCCUCGCAUGAGGAGGGGGUGGAAGUUGUUUCGGUGGGGGCUGUGCCCGAGGCCUAUCAGCUUGUUGGUGGGGUAAUGUCAUACCAAGGCUUCGACGGGUAGCCGGCCUGAGAGGGUGACCGGCCACACUGGGACUGAGACACGGCCCAGACUGCUACGGGAGGCAGCAGGGGGGAAUAUUGGACAAUGGGCGGAAGCCUGAUCCAGCAACGCCGCGUGAGGGAUGACGGCCUUCGGGUUGUAAACCUCUUUCACCUGAGACGAAGCGAAAGUGACGGUAGCAGGAGAAGAAGCACCGGCCAACUACGUG